UACAUGUGGGGCAAGCGUUGUUCGGAAUUACUGGGCAUAAAGGGUACGUAGGCGGCCUGUUAAGUCAUUGGUGAAAGUUUUCGGCCCAACCGGAAAAUUGCCUGUGAUACUGGCGUGCUGGAGUGCGUGAGGGGUGGGGGGAACGAGCAGUGUAGCGGUGAAAUGCGUAGAUAUUGCUCGGAAGGCCGGAGCCGAAGGGGCCCCACUGGUACGUAACUGACGCUGAGGCACGAAAGCGUGGGGAGCAAACCGG
rnacentral:rRNA from 1 species